ensembl:lncRNA
AAAAGUGUUUACAGUUGUGCAUUUGUGUUGAUUCUCCUUGCUAAUAUUUUGAGUUCUUACAUUUUAGAGGUCUGAUGGAAAUGGUAUCACUUAUGGCUUAAGUUGCCCAGUUUAAAGAAGUAAACAACAUUAAAGAGGCCAUGGAAAACCCACCUGAAAAGGAAGUUGAACCAGUUGAGGAGAUGCCACUUCCAGCUGAAGAAAUAAGUAACCCACCAGUGCAACAGAUCAGAGCAAGCUCACGUGAAAGAAGCUUAACAGAGAAAGGUCGAGAGAUGCAUGAGCUCGAAGCAAAGAAACAGGAAAAGUCCUUCCAUAAGACAUAUGAGUCCUGGAAGCAGGCUGCAAGAGAGGCUAGAUCAAAUUUGAAAACAUUCUGUACACGUGAAGACCUGGAUCAAAUACAGCAGGACAUUCAAGGCAGACAUGAUUCAGUCUAUCAGCGUUAUGAACCGAUUCUGCGUAACCACACUACUACUCCAGACAUUGUUAAACGUAUGGAUGCCUGCGCUGCACUAACUGCAGAGAUCACUGAUCUUGUCAGUAAACGACUGGAAACAUUUAAUGAAAGUUACAACGAAGAACUUGUGAAGGAAAGAGUAAGGCAGGUGCUGAAUAAGGAUGAAUAUGGAUCCGUCUUUGGAUGUACAGUAACAAACACAGUCGUUUCAGAGUCAUCACUGGGAUCCGAUAACCAAUCAAAGACUUCUAAAGUCUCAAGUAAGCGUGCUGAUGCACAGGCAGAAUUUGCAGCGAAACUGGAACAAGCUAAAGCUUUACAAGAAAUUCACAAUCAACAAGCUAAGCUUGAUAAGAUGGAGCAUGACUGGAAGCUUUGUGAAUCGAGAAUGUUAGCGGAGAUAAAGCAGAAGGAGGCUGAAAUGCAGUUAAGGCUAGUUGAGGAAAAGAAACGGCUACAACAGCUACAAGUUGACAAAGAAGUUAAAGUAGCAGCAGCUCGUGUCAAAGUGUAUAACGAUUUGGAAGGCAACCUUCAGCGCUGUGAAGAUGACGAAGGCCCUAGAAUUCACACUGGCUGCCAAAGGACAGAGCUUACAUCUCAACUGAACCCGGAAGUACAGUCGUUCCUACCUCAGCAAGCAUCAUGUGAAGGAUAUGAAGUUACAUCACCUCAGGAAACUGCAAAUCUAGCUCAAGCAAUAGCAAACUCACUAAGCACACAUCGGCUGCCAGUUCCAGAACCCACUGUCUUUGUUGGUGACCCUUUAAAAUUCAUAGAUUGGAAGAUGUCAUUCAUGGCCCUCAUUGAUCGAAAACCUCUUCCUUCUGGUGAAAAAAUGUUCUAUCUGAAGAAUUACCUUGCUGGGGAAGCUCGCAAAGCGGUGGAGGGAUAUUUCUACAGAAAUUCUGAGGAUGCGUAUCAAGGUGCCUGGAAAGCGUUACAGGAAAGGUACGGGAACUCGUUCGUCAUCCAAAGAGCGUUUCGAGACAAGCUGAUGAGAUGGCCCAAAAUUGGAGCAAAUGACCCACUGGCAUUACGAGACUUCACAGAUUUCCUACAAGGUUGUGUCGAGGCAAUUCCUCACGUAAAAGGAUUAGCCAUCCUAAAUGAUUCCGAAGAAAACCACAAGCUGUUAAAGAAACUCCCCGAAUGGAUUGUGAGAAAGUGGAACCGAAUCGUGGUGGAAGAGCUAGACACAUCAGGUGACUAUCCAAGUUUCAAAUGCUUCACAGAAUUUCUGCAAAAGGAAGCAAAAAUAGCUUGUAACCCUAUAACCUCUGCGCUAUUUGUGAAUCAAAAGAACACAGAUGAAAGGUUCCCCAAGCGUGCUAAGGCUCUCAGUACAAAGGUUCAGGUGAAGGACUUAAGCUCAAAAAGACCAGAGACGUACAGCUCUA